rnacentral:tRNA from 1 species
AAUUUAAGUAGAUUUUAACAAAAUGUUUUGAAAACAUUAUAUAAGAAAUAAUAUUUCUAAAAUC